rnacentral:tRNA from 1 species
GCGUCGUUAGCUCAAUUGGUAGAGCAACGGUCUCCAAAACCGUAGGUUGAAGGUUCGAGUCCUUCACGACGUG